rnacentral:pre_miRNA from 9 species
CCGGGGCAGCCGCCGUCCCUGUCCUCCAGGAGCUCACUUACCUUGGGCCGUGAGCUCCUCGAGGCCAGAGCCCGUGUCUGCCUCUGCACCAGCGCC